AUCGUGACAGCGUCCAAAGCUGCUGCUUUAGCCAGCAAGUAUAUCCAAAAGUGCGGAAAGAACAUGCUCUUGAACUACUCCUGGACGAUGCCGAAGAUGAUAAAGAUGGCCGAAAAGAGUUGCUUGGGAAUAAACUUGUGCUACGCUCGCCAUGAAGCAAAAAAGCGAAAGAGUAUCAUGGACUUCAGAAGAGCCGUGCGGGAUUGCAUAGUAAAGGGCACGGUGACACUCUAUACAGUAAAGCCAGAAAUAUUUGUCUUCGAGAAGGAGGAGUUCAUGC